rnacentral:rRNA from 1 species
GGACCCGCACAAGUAGUGGAGCAUGUGGUUUAAUUCGAAGAUACGCGCAGAACCUUACCAACACUUGACAUGUUCGUCGCGACUCUAAGAGAUUAGAGUUUUCGGUUCGGCCGGACGAAACACAGGUGCUGCAUGGCUGUCGUCAGCUCGUGUCGUGAGAUGUUGGGUUAAGUCCCGCAACGAGCGCAACCCUCACUUUUAGUUGCCAUCAUUAAGUUGGGCACUCUGAAAGAACUGCCAGUGAUAAGCUGGAGGAAGGUGGGGAUGACGUCAAGUCCUCAUGGCCCUUACGUGUUGGGCUACACACGUGCUACAAUGGUAUCUACAACAGGAAGCAAGAUGGCGACAUCAAGCAAAUCCUAAAAAGAUGCCUCAGUUCGGAUUGCACUCUGCAACUCGAGUGCAUG